rnacentral:rRNA from 1 species
AUUGAACGCUGGCGGCAGGCCUAACACAUGCAAGUCGAGCGGAAACGAAGGGAGCUUGCUCCCAGGCGUCGAGCGGCGGACGGGUGAGUAGCACGUGAGAAUCUGCCCAUUAGUGGGGGACAACUCGGGGAAACUCGAGCUAAUACCGCAUAAUCCCUACGGGGGAAAGCAGGGGACCUUUUGGCCUUGCGCUGAUGGAUGAGCUCACGUCGGAUUAGCUUGUUGGCGAGGUAAAGGCUCACCAAGGCGACGAUCCGUAGCUGGUCUGAGAGGAUGAUCAGCCACACUGGGACUGAGACACGGCCCAGACUCCUACGGGAGGCAGCAGUGGGGAAUCUUGGACAAUGGGGGCAACCCUGAUCCAGCCAUGCCGCGUGAGUGAAGAAGGCCUUCGGGUUGUAAAGCUCUUUCGGCCGGGAAGAAAUCGCACGGGCUAAUACCCUGUGUGGAUGACGGUACCGGAAUAAGAAGCACCGGCUAACUACGUGCCAGCAGCCGCAGUAA